rnacentral:rRNA from 1 species
GUGGGGAAUUUUGGACAAUGGGCGCAAGCCUGAUCCAGCAAUGCCGCGUGCAGGAAGAAGGCCUUCGGGUUGUAAACUGCUUUUGUACGGAACGAAACGGUCCUGGCUAAUAUCCGGGGCUAAUGACGGUACCGUAAGAAUAUGCACCGGCUAACUACGUGCCAGCAGCCGCGGUAAUACGUAGGGUGCGAGCGUUAAUCGGAAUUACUGGGCGUAAAGCGUGCGCAGGCGGUGCUGUAAGACAGGCGUGAAAUCCCCGGGCUCAACCUGGGAAUUGCGCUUGUGACUGCAGUGCUGGAGUGCGGCAGAGGGGGAUGGAAUUCCGCGUAUAGCAGUGAAAUGCGUAGAUAUGCGGAGGAACACCGAUGGCGAAGGCAAUCCCCUGGGCCUGCACUGACGCUCAUGCACGAAAGCGUGGGGAGCAAACAGGAUUAGAAACCCGGGUAGUCC